rfam:Operophtera brumata OBRT01_Sc00068, whole genome shotgun sequence.
UGCAAGGCCCUGUUCAGGGCCACCAAAGAUUUAUCUUUGAGUGUUA